rnacentral:rRNA from 1 species
GACGUAGGGCGCGAGCGUUGUCCGGAUUUAUUGGGCGUAAAGAGCUCGUAGGCGGCUUGUCGCGUCGUCCGUGAAAACCCGGGGCUCAACUCCGGGCUUGCGGGCGAUACGGGCAGGCUAGAGUUCGGUAGGGGAGACUGGAAUUCCUGGUGUAGCGGUGAAAUGCGCAGAUAUCAGGAGGAACACCGGUGGCCGAAGGCGGGAUCUC